rnacentral:misc_RNA from 1 species
GGUUCGAUUAUGGCUCAGAUUGAACGCUGGCGGGAUGCUUUACACAUGCAAGUCGAACGGCGGCACGGACUCCGGUCUGGUGGCGAGUGGCGAACGGGUGAGUAAUGUAUCGGAACGUGCCCUAGUAGCGGGGGAUAACUACGCGAAAGCGUAGCUAAUACCGCAUACGCCCUUCGGGGGAAAGCGGGGGACCUUCGGGCCUCGCACUAUUAGAGCGGCCGAUAUCAAAGUUAGCUAGUUGGUGGGGUAACGGCCGCCAGGCUGACGAUCCGUAGCUGGUUUGAGAGGACGACCAGCCACCACUGGGACUGAGACCUUGCAGCCCAGACUCCUACGAGAGGCAUGAUGGGGAAUUUGGACAAUGGGGGAAACCUGAUCCAGCCAUCCCGCGUGUGCGAUGAAGGCCUUCGGGUUGUAAAGCACUUUUGGCAGGAAAGAAACGGCACGGAUAAUACCCCGUGCAACUGACAGUACCUGCAGAAUAAGCACCGGCUAACUACGUGCCAGCAGCCGCGGUAAUACGUAGGGUGCAAGCGUUAAUCGGAAUUACUGGGCGUAAAGCGUGCGCAGGCGGUUCGGAAAGAAGAUGUGAAAUCCCAGAGCUUAACUUUGGAACUGCAUUUUUAACUACCGAGCUAGAGUGUGUCAGAGGAGGUGGAAUUCCGCGAUGGCAGUGAAAUGCGUAGAUAUGCGGAGGAACACCGAUGGCGAAGGCAACCUCCUGGGAUAACACUGACGCUCAUGCACGAAAGCGUGGGGAGCAAACAGGAUUAGAUACCCUGGUAGUCCACGCCCUAAACGAUGUCAACUAGCUGUUGGGGCCUUCGGGCCUUGGUAAGCGCAACUAACGCGUGAGAAUUGA